AUGCAAAAACAAGUGAAUGUCACAAGGAAAAUAUUUCUGAUAUGCUACAAAAGCUUUGGGGGUAAAUGAUCAGUAUGAUAAAUUCAGCCACUGCUGUCCAUCACCUUCAGACAAGU
rnacentral:snoRNA from 1 species